GAUGAACGCUGGCGGCGUGCUUAACACAUGCAAGUCGAACGGAAAGGCCCAAGCUUGCUUGGGUACUCGAGUCGCGAACGGGUGAGUAACACGUGGGUGAUCUGCCCUGCACUUCGGGAUAAGCCUGGGAAACUGGGUCUAAUACCGGAUAGGACCACAUUUUGGAUGGUGUGGUGGAAAGUUUUUCGGUGUGGGAUGAGCUCGCGGCCUAUCAGCUUGUUGGUGGGGUAAUGGCCUACCAAGGCGUCGACGGGUAGCCGGCCUGAGAGGGUGUACGGCCACAUUGGGACUGAGAUACGGCCCAGACUCCUACGGGAGGCAGCAGUGGGGAAUAUUGCACAAUGGGCGCAAGCCUGAUGCAGCGACGCCGCGUGGGGGAUGACGGCCUUCGGGUUGUAAACUCCUUUCGCUAGGGACGAAGCGCAAGUGACGGUACCUGGAGAAGAAGCACCGGCUAACUACGUG
rnacentral:rRNA from 1 species